rnacentral:rRNA from 1 species
GACGAAGGUGGCGAGCGUUGUUCGGAUUCAUUGGGCUUAAAGAGCACGUAGGCGGCCCUUCAAGUGUCUUGUGAAAUCCCUCGGCUCAACCGAGGAAUUGCUGGGCAUACUGUCGGGCUUGAGGUAGGUAUGGGCGAGUGGAACUCUUGGUGGAGCGGUGGAAUGCGUAGAUAUCAAGAGGAACGCCGGUGGUGAAGACGAUUCGCUGGGCCUAUCCUGACGCUGAGGUGCGAAAGCCAGGGGAGCAAACGGGAUUAGAUACCCCGGUAGUCCUGGCCCUAAACGAUGUCUACUAGAUCGGAGUCACUCUGACGUGCCUCUGGUCGAAAUGAAAACGAUAAGUAGACCGCCUGGGGAGUACGGUCGCAAGGCUAAA